rnacentral:rRNA from 1 species
AACGAACGCUGGCGGCAGGCCUAACACAUGCAAGUCGAGCGCCCCGCAAGGGGAGCGGCGGACGGGUGAGUAACACGUGGGAAUUUUCCUCAAGGUACGGAACAACUCAGGGAAACUUGGGCUAAUACCGUAUGAUGCAGAGAUGCCAAAGAUUUAUCGCCUUGGGAUAAGCCCGCGUCAGAUUAGGUAGUUGGUGGGGUAAUGGCCUACCAAGCCUGUGAUCUGUAGCUGGUCUGAGAGGACGAUCAGCCACAUUGGGACUGAGACACGGCCCAAACUCCUACGGGAGGCAGCAGUGGGGAAUCUUGCGCAAUGGACGAAAGUCUGACGCAGCCAUGCCGCGUGAAUGAUGAAGGUCUUAGGAUUGUAAAGUUCUUUAGCCUGUGACGAUGAUGACGGUAACAGGAGAAUAAGCCCCGGCUAACUUCGUGCCAGCCGCCGCGGUAA